rnacentral:rRNA from 1 species
UCCUUUCGGGGGGGGGACCAUUGGGGAUUUUUGGCAAAUGGGGGAAACCUUAUUCCACCCUUCCGGGUUGGUGGAGAAGGCCUUUUGGUUUUUAAACCCUUUUAGUGAGGAAGGAAAUACAUUAGGUUAAUCCCAGAGUUAGUGGACGUUACUCACAGAAUAAGCACCGGCUAACUUUGUGCCAGCAGCCGCGGUAAUACGAAGGGUGCAAGCGUUAAUCGGAAUUACUGGGCGUAAAGCGUGCGUAGGUGGUUUAUUAAGUCGGAUGUGAAAUCCCCGAGCUCAACCUGGGAAUUGCAUUCGAUACUGGUGAGCUAGAAUAUGGGAGAGGAAGUGGAAUUCCAGGUGUAGCGGUGAAAUGCGUAGAGAUCAGGAGGAACACCCAUGGCGAAGGCAGCUCAUCUGGCGUAACAUGACGCUGAGCACGACGUUUU